rnacentral:tRNA from 1 species
GCUCGAUGGCGUAGGGGAUGCGCUCGGGCGCGUAACCCGAGAAGUGGUGGUUCUGGCCUGCCAUGGGGCCC